UCUUUCAGGUUGGCUGCAGAAGGUCCGAAGAAAGAGGAGUUACUGGAGGAAAAAGUGGUUCAGAGGUGACUAUUCAACCGCAUAAGAGAUGGUGAAAAUUAACCUAUCACCACUGCUAAUGAACAUCACCCUAUGGAGAACCGAGACACAAAAGGGAAGAUUCAGAAUGUGUGACUUGUAUAAAAUAAAACCAGUUUCCCCCGACCCCAACACCUUCUUUGAACAUCUCUUUCUCCACCUCUCAAAAAAUUUCCUACUGAGUUGGUCCUCUAGUGAAAAGAGCAGUUAAUAAGAUGGAAAGCAACUGGACGUGGUGAAGAAAAAGCCAGCGAACUUAGGGGUGAGACUGAAGCCCCUCAGGGUGGCUGAGCUGCUAUUUGAAAAAUUCCUUCAAGUCACGUGCGGCCUGUCAAGAGAUGAGGUGAAGGAAGAGAAUGAUAAAUAUCUAUCUCCAGUGGAAGGAUCAUUUUGAAAGAAGGGCUGUUAGAUUAAAAACCAAGCUAGCCAGGGAACGUUAAAGGAAGAGAAGUUCUCACAAGCAUUUUAAUGCCAAGCAUGUGUUCCAACGAGAGGAACACAGGAAAGCUCUUCAGCAGAUGAGAAAAUGAAAUUCGGCAUCACUAAUUCAUAGGAAUGAUAACAAAAACGGCAGUGAAGAAAAUCUGUGCAUUUUAAAAAAUGCAUGUUUUUUGCUUAGUGUUGUCCCUUCCCCUCCUGGCUUUUAGUAUACUGCAUUCAUUAAAGUAGCUGAGAAGAAAAAUAGUAGAUGCUGUUAACGUCAGGCCUGAGAGCUUCCAUAUCCUGUGUUGCGUUGAGUUUUGGGUUUGUUUCCUUAUUCACUGUCUUCUAGAUCUCAGACCCUAGCAGAAGGU